CCCAGACUCAACCACCUCCACAAUCAGGCUCUGCAGCUGUGGGAAGAGGGGAAAAGGGGAUGGGCCAGGGCAGUAUGAGGAUAAAUUUAAACUUGAAGAAGAAAAGAAAAACAGGUGAAACAUGUUGAGUGAAAGCCUCUUAUAUUUGUGUCUCCUAGACUACAGGCCAAUUCACCUACAGUUGGCAGAAAACAAUGGAUACCAGCCCAUACUCACCCAUCAUCCCUUGGAUGUGACCUAUGCUCAAUUCCAGUCAACCUCCUCCUCAGGACCCAUUGAGGCAGGAACAGCUCUACACCCUUGCCAGCCUGAAGAAGCUACAGAAGCAGAGACCUUCAUCCCUUUUCUCAAAUGAAUUUGGGCCCCAGCUUUUUGAGAAGGGAAUGAUGGUAUACUAAUAAAGCUGCCCCCAGCCCCAAUAUUCUAACUUCCUUGUUAGAGUUAAUCACUGAACAGCAAGUCCACUGCUCCUGCUUAGCCACUGCCCCCCCCCCCAAUAAAUAGCCUAACUUCCUCAUAUAUGCUUAUCUGCUCACUAGAACAACAGGUGUGUCCAUGAACUCAUAUUUCUUACAAAAAUAGCAGGCAUGUCCAUGUGAUGGGAACCACUGCCUCUACUUAGCCACUGCUCCCAGAACCAUUCCUCAUAUUUCCCACAGAAACAGCAAGUAUAUCCAUGCACUCAACCACAACCACAUCCAUCCAGUCUCAGACAGGACCACAAUACUCAGCCAAUUAGAAAGCAGCACCACCAGGAUGCCCAAGCAGGAUGUGGACCCCAAAACAAUAGAAGGGACUUUCCCUAAGUAGGCACCUGUGCAGUAAUAGCAAAAGCUGUCCUUUAGGUGAACUUAUGAUGUAGAGUGGCUCAUUAUAUUAUCAUUAUCAUACAUACAUAUCCUCCCAACUGGGUUUUUCUGUUUGCAUUGUGGGAAAUCACAGGCACAAUUCCACUCAGGCUGGGACCUCUUCCCUAUUACCUAAUCCUUUAACAAACCACAAUUUUUGUUAUGUAAUUGCAUCUUUACCCCAUAAAAAUCUGUCUUUCUUUUACUGAAGUUGCUGGUUCCUCUUCGAACUUAGCCCACUUCACGAGAGGUAUCAAUCUCAAUA